rnacentral:rRNA from 1 species
UGCAAGUCGAACGUGAAAGCACUUCGGUGUGAGUAGAGUGGCGGACGGGUGAGUAACGCGUGGGGAUCUACCCAGUAGUGGGGGACAACUACCGGAAACGGUAGCUAAUACCGCAUACGCCCUAUGGGGGAAAGGCUUCGGCCGCUAUUGGAUGAGCCCGCGUCAGAUUAGCUAGUUGGUAGGGUAAAGGCCUACCAAGGCAACGAUCUGUAGCUGGUCUGAGAGGACGAACAGCCACACUGGGACUGAGACACGGCCCAGACUCCUACGGGAGGCAGCAGUGGGGAAUAUUGGACAAUGGGCGAAAGCCUGAUCCAGCAAUGCCGCGUGUGUGAAGAAGGCCUGCGGGUUGUAAAGCACUUUCAGUUGGGAAGAUGAUGACGUUACCAACAGAAGAAGCACCGGCUAAAUCCGUGCCAGCAGCCGCGGUAAUACGGAUGGUGCGAGCGUUAAUCGGAAUUACUGGGCGUAAAGCGCGCGUAGGCGGCUAAGUCAGUCAGAAGUGAAAGCCCCGGGCUCAACCUGGGAACUGCAUUUCGAACUGGCAAGCUAGAGUGUGAUAGAGGGUGGUAGAAUUUCAGGUGUAGCGGUGAAAUGCGUAGAGAUCUGAAGGAAUACCGAUGGCGAAGGCAGCCACCUGGGUCAACACUGACGCUCAUGUACGAAAGCGUGGGGAGCAAACAGGAUUAGAUACCCUGGUAGUCCACGCCGUAAACGAUGUCUACUAGAAGCUCGGUUCCUCGGAACUGUUUUUCAAAGCUAACGCAUUAAGUAGACCGCCUGGGGAGUACGG